AAGGCAGGAGUUUCUUUGUCUUCUCUGAAUCUGUCUCCUCCGGGACUCUCCACUGCUGGCUGCUUGAGCCCAUGUGAUUGAACCAUGUGAAUCAGCUCUGUGCCCCCAUCAUCACCCCACCCCCAGUCCAGGAUGCAGCAACUUGCGUUGAAUGAGGAGCGGCUGGUCAUGUGGUCUGGUAACCAUGGCGACGGAUCCCCGCAGACAAGGAGGCUUCCUUCACUCUGGGAAUUUGGGGCCCCAGGAUGGGCAAUUGGGGACACCCUCCUUCACCACUCCCCUAAGUACCAACAAGAGGAAUGUUCUUGCUGCUCUCAGUAAAUAGUAGAAGAUACCGUGAUGACGCAAAGCCUUUGGCGCUUCUUUCUUCCUUUGAAGUUUGGAAGUAGCUGCUAAAGGAAGGAAGUAAUACAUUCCAGCGCAAGACCUGGAAGGGUUCAGCCACCCAGCCCUUCAUGUUCUGGAAAAGCAAGCUAAU